CUAGAUGUUCAUAGAGGUCUAGAUGUUCAUAGAGGUCUAGAUGUUGGUGUUCAUAGAGGUCUAGAUGUUCAUAGAGGUCUAGAUGUUGGUGUUCAUAGAGGUCUAGAUGUUGGUGUUCAUAGAGGUCUAGAUGUUCAUGUUCUUAGAGGUCUAGAUGUUCAUGUUCUUAGAGGUCUAGAUGUUCAUGUUCUUAGAGGUCUAGAUGUUCAUGUUCAUAGAGGUCUAGAUGUUGGUGUUCAUAGAGGUCUAGAUGCUGGUGUUCAUAGAGGUCUAGAUGCUGGUGUUCAUAGAGGUCUAGAUGCUGGUGUUCAUAGAGGUCUAGAUGCUGGUGUUCAUAGAGGUCUAGAUGCUGGUGUUCAUAGAGG